rnacentral:misc_RNA from 1 species
CAUUGAUGAAGCACAGCUGUAAUCCAAUCACUGCUCACUUCUCUCACGCUAUCUCAAUGUGACAUGUUGUCCCUACUCUUCCUCUUCCCCUCUCUAAACUUAAGCUUCUCUCUUGCUUCGUUUACCUCCCACUACUGUGUUCUCCAUGGCAGCUCCAGCUCCUGCUCUAUAUCUCUUCUUCUUCAUCAUCUUUCUCGCUCUCAGUUCAAUUACCCAUGCCCAAGUGGAAGAAACAGGCUUGAAGAUAACGGUGGACGCUCUAGAAUGGCCAAUGGCGAUGUCCAUGUACA